CACCACUGAAGAGGCAAAACCAAAAGGGGUUGCCCCUUUCAAGGAGUCACUUUGGGGGACAGUGAGAGUGAGGGCAAGGUUUCCUGACCCAGUAAUUCAUAUGUGGUGAUUUACUUUGAUUGAAGAAGGACUGAUGCAGCUGAGAGUGCACAGUGAAUGUUAUUACAGGGGCGGAUACAUUCAAUGCAUUAAUGGCAUUCAACAAAGCUAAGAAGGACAGCUAUGGUACAGUUAUACAGAAGUUUGAAAAGUUUUGUAUACUCAGUCAAAUAUUUGAUAAGUACAAAUUCUGCGAGAAGACUUGGAGAACAGUUUUAAAGAUUUUGAAGAAUUUUUAAUCUAUUUAAGCUGAUGAGCUAUGUUAACACCAAUAAAUGGAUUCCAGUUAGAGUGAGCCACUAAAGCUAGGAGCUUUCCUGGCAAAGUGCAUGCAUCUUUGUUGAAGAAGUAUACGUAUCUUUAUUUUAAAAGUCAACACGGGGACUGGACUUCUCAAAAAUAUAGAUUACACGUUGUGUGUACUGCUCAGCACUAUCUGAAAGUAAACUAAACCGUAUAGGUGUACAGAUCAACAAUCAUAUGUGCAUCGUUAAAAUAUUUUAUCUCCACUGAAUACAAUGUGUGAAAAUGCUGUUCAAGUGAAGCAAAAUAUAAAGUAACAAAUAUCAUUAAUUCCUAUCUUAUGUUUAGGGUUUGAGCAGGUUUGGGCUUAUUAGAAGGGCAAAGGUGAAGACACAGCUUAAUGGUGCUUUCUCUAAGGUAAUAACAGCUUUCAUGACAAGAGAGCAUUUUUAAUAGAAUUUCAAGAUGCCUAACUCCAUUGUUCCUGUGUGUGUUAAAAGCAUCGGGUCAACUGAGUGGUCACACAUCUAGAGACACUGUGUCGCUUGCCUAAAGGAAGAUUUUGCCA